rnacentral:rRNA from 1 species
AGUGAACGCUGGCUGUAGGCCUAACACAUGCAAGUCGAACGGCAGCACAGUAAGAGCUUGCUCUUACGGGUGGCGAGUGGCGGACGGGUGAGGAAUACAUCGGAAUCUACUUUUUCGUGGGGGAUAACGUAGGGAGACUUACGCUAAUACCGCAUACGACCUACGGGUGAAAGCAGGGGAUCUUCGGACCUUGCGCGAUUGAAUGAGCCGAUGUCGGAUUAGCUAGUUGGCGGGGUAAAGGCCCACCAAGGCGACGAUCCGUAGCUGGUCUGAGAGGAUGAUCAGCCACACUGGAACUGAGACACGGCCCAGACUCCUACGGGAGGCAGCAGUGGGGAAUAUUAGACAAUGGGCGCAGGCCUGAUCCAGCCAUACCGCGUGGGUGAAGAAGGCCUUCGGGUUGUAAAGCCCUUUUGUUGGGAAAGAAAAGCAGCAGGUUAAUACCCCGCUGUUCUGACGGUACCCAAAGAAUAAGCACCGGCUAACUUCGUG